rnacentral:misc_RNA from 1 species
AGAGAGAAUUGGCGUGAUCACCGC